GCCCAGCCUGUCUCAGUACUGACCCCUUCAAGGUAACCCCCCAAGAGGCUCAUUAAAUCCAAAAAGGUUCCCCAGUUCGUCCCCAAAUUUACUUGAAUAACUGGGGUAAUUUUAGAGCUAAUACAUGCAAACCUGACUUCCGACCAGAGAUGGAAGGAACCCUUUUAUUAGAUCAAAACCAUGCGGUUUAUUGUGGCUUUUGCCUCAAAAACCGUUUACGUUGGCGACUCUGAAUAAAUUUGUGCUGAUCGCAUGGUCUCGUACCCGCGACGCAUCUUUCAAAUGUCUGCCUUAUCAACUGUCGAUGGUAGGUUCUGCCCCUACCAUGGUUGUAACGGAUAACGGGGAAUCAGGGUUCGAUUCCCGAGAGGGAGCCUGAGAAACGGCUACCACAUCCAAGGAAGGCAGCAGGAGCGCAGAUUACCCACUCCCGGCACGGGGAGGUAGUGACGAAAAAUAACGAUACGGGACUCAUCCGAGGCCCCGUAAUCGGAAUGAGUACACUUUAAAUCCUUUCACGAGGAUCCCUUGGAGGGCAAGUCUGCUGCCAGCAGCCGCUGAAAUUCCAGCUCCAAUAGCGUAUAUUAAAGUUGUUGCGGUUAAAAAGCUCGUACCCGAAUCUGUGUGUCACGAUGUUGGUUCACCCCUCGCGGUGUUUAACUAGCAUGCCGUGAGACGUCCUACCGGUGGGCUUAGCGCUUCACGGGGCGGUCCAAAUAAUAUCCCAUCGGGGUGCUCUUCAUUGAGUGUCGAGGGGGGCCGGUACGUUUACUUUGAACAAAUUACAGUGGCUAAAGCCCGCCAUCUUCGCCUUAAUAUUUCGGGCACGGAAUAAGGGGAAAGGACCUUGGUUUUAUUUUGGGGGUUUUCGGAACCCCGAAGAAAAAAAUAAUAGGGACAGGGGGGGGCAUUCGUAUUAUCGUC
rnacentral:rRNA from 1 species